AUACUUUGGUUCCUCUUCAGAAAAAAAUAAAUCCUUUGCCUUUUACUAAAGAUUUCCAUGGAGAGGAACACUUGUGAGUUAGUAAACAAAAUUUUUUGAGGCCUAAUAUUAAAAAACAAGA